rnacentral:ncRNA from 1 species
AUAAAUGCUAUGAUAAGAAAUAGUAGCAUAAGGUAAACUAACAGAGAGAAGUCCUCCUAGCUGAAAGGGAUUUUAAGUGUAACUUGUGUGAAUGCAUCUUUGAGCACUGUCUCGAAAUAUAGUAGACGACAGCGUGUACGCCCGUUACAGCGUUGAGGUAUGAUUGUACCAAAAAUGAGAUGUCAUUGUAUAUUUUUGUUAUACACAUGAUAAUUAGAGUGGAACCGCGGAAGAUAACUUCUGCCUCUAAA